rnacentral:rRNA from 1 species
GGAGCAGUGGGGAAUUUUGGACAAUGGGCGAAAGCCUGAUCCAGCAAUGCCGCGUGCAGGAUGAAGGCCCUCGGGUUGUAAACUGCUUUUGUACGGAACGAAAAGCCUGGGGCUAAUAUCCCCGGGUCAUGACGGUACCGUAAGAAUAAGCACCGGCUAACUACGUGCCAGCAGCCGCGGUAAUACGUAGGGUGCAAGCGUUAAUCGGAAUUACUGGGCGUAAAGCGUGCGCAGGCGGUUUUGUAAGACAGUGGUGAAAUCCCCGGGCUCAACCUGGGAACUGCCAUUGUGACUGCAAGGCUAGAGUGCGGCAGAGGGGGAUGGAAUUCCGCGUGUAGCAGUGAAAUGCGUAGAUAUGCGGAGGAACACCGAUGGCGAAGGCAAUCCCCUGGGCCUGCACUGACGCUCAUGCACGAAAGCGUGGGGAGCAAACAGGAUUAGAUACCCUGGUAGUCCACGCCCUAAACGAUGUCAACUGGUUGUUGGGUCUUAACUGACUCAGUAACGAAGCUAACGCGUGAAGUGACCGCCUGGGAGACGCCGACG